AGCAGCCGCGGUAAUUCCAGCUCCAAUAGCGUAUAUUAAAGUUGUUGCAGUUAAAAAGCUCGUAGUUGAAUUUCGGAAUUUUUUUAUCGGUUGAACCAACAGGUUCGUACUGAUUUUAAGAAUUUCUACCUUCUGGAGAACCUUAAUGUCAUUUAUUUGAUGUUUUGGGAAACCAGGACUGUUACCUUGAAAAAAUUAGAGUGUUUAAAGCAGGCUUAUGUCUGAAUAUAUUAGCAUGGAAUAAUGAAAUAGGACGGCAUGGUUCUAUUUUGUUGGUUUCUAGGAUCACCGUAAUGAUUAAUAGGGAUAGUUGGGGGCAUUAGUAUUCAAUUGUCAGAGGUGAAAUUCUUGGAUUUAUUGAAGACUAACUUCUGCGAAAGCAUUUGCCAAGGAUGUUUUCAUUAAUCAAGAACGAAAGUUAGGGGAUCGAAGACGAUCAGAUACCGUCGUAGUCUUAACCAUAAACUAUGCCGACUAGGAAUCGGACGAAGUUAAUUUUUAAUGACUCGUUCGGCGCCUU
rnacentral:rRNA from 1 species